GGAGUUUGAAAGAAAAGCCAACCACCUGGGCUUGGGAUUCAAUCUGUGUUUUCAGUGACGCUUGAAGGUGAAACUCUCCCUUGUAACUAGAGAGUUACAGAUCCUUAGAGAGGCGCUUCAGUGGUUUCAUUCAGCGGUUACUGCAAAAGCUGUCCAGGUAAGAAUAUGGAAUGCUCACUCCACAACAUUGUUUGUGAAAAUCUUCAGAUUUAUUUUAUUGAACAAGGCUAUAAAAGUAUUUACAGAGGAGAGGGAAAGAGAGCACAGUGGAGAGAUGCCUUGGGAGAGAGCUGUUACUGGCCAUGGUGUCAUUCUUCUUCCACAGGGAGAAGCAGAUCCAAACUGAGAAGGGAGAAGAUGUGAUAGUUGAUAUCACAACAAGCUUGAGUUUUGAUUAAUAUCUUGGACAGGACAUUCUAUGUUCCAAAUAGAGAUUGUGUGUUACAAAGUGACUGCAGGACCAAAAAUGAGUAGCAAAUUCAUGAACCUCUUAGAUUUUUUUAAUUUAGGACAUGAUGAGAUUACUGCCAGUGACUCAACUUUUAAAAUACAAGGAAUAACUAAAUAAAUAAAGUAAAAUUGCACUUUUAAUUGUAUUUUGAAGACAUCAUGAGCUGUGAUUCAUUCACUUCAUCUCAUAGAACUUCUGCUGGUGAUAAUUAUAUUUAAUAUUGUUACAAUCACCCCUUCCUCUCAACUUGUUGUGAUGUAUGUCCCCCCAGCCUCCUUCUGAAAGGUGAGUUAACACAGCUUAUUAGGGUGUUACAUUAGAAUCACUGUUUUGGAAAAGCCAAGCAUGGUGUGGGCUUCUGGUGUCAGAUGUGAAUGUGAGAGAUGAACAGCCAAGCUCUGCAAAUGAAACACAGCCUCACUCAUCCCCCUUCCCUCACAUGCACCACCGCCCCAUCUUCAAAGUCAGGGCUGCCUCAGCAUGUCACAGGAGGCAGGUAAUGUCAUCUUGUAAACACCAGCGAUGAGCAUGAGCCGAGACCCCCAGCAGCAGAGGAUAUAAACCGUCCUCCUGAAGCAGGAUUUAAUUACAUUCUCCGUCAGGAAAGGAAGUUGGAUUUGCUUCAGUGGAAUUGCAUUUUCUGCAUUUGGGUGAUUUGUUUAUCCUAUAAAACCAUUUCCCAGUACCACUACUGGAAUGCUGGCAACUAGAAACCUGCGUGGCUCACUCUUUAGACUGAAGGACACUCCUGUCCCCGUGUUUACAUUUCUACCUUUCACAGCCUGGCAUUCCGAGAGGCCUUUGUGAAAACAGCGCAGAGUCCUCGGGGGAAAGUGCUCAAGAUUAGUGCUAUAAAUUCUCCUCCACGGCUCUGCUACUUCAUGUUCUAUAAUAUUCCUGAAUUCCUGCAUUUCUGAGGUCAAGGGUCCUGUCUUGUUGUCCAGUGUCUCAUACUGAACAAAAUUCUCAUCUGACUCCUUUGCCCUAUUAUGUUUGGGGUGCCGGGCUGGUUCUCUGAUGAUCUCAGUCACAGCCUCUCCAUCUUUUUCAAAAACAGCAAUUUGUGGAUGAGUUGUGUGCUGGCGGUAUUUUCUUUAAACAGUUCUCUAUGUUAAAAAUGUUGCCAAUCAGAAUAUCUUCAGAUAUAACAAAUGUUAAAGUACACAAGAAGUCCUCGGUUCAGGGCUUCAAGGAACUCACCUGGAUGCAAAUCAAAGAAUCAGUUGUCAGCUUGGACAAAGCCAAGAGGUAAAGAAGUGGACAAUUUGGAUCUAGUCCUUAAGGAAUAACCAUAUGGAUUAUUUCAUGCUCAAAUGUACCCCAUUUCUAUAGCACUUGGGAAAUAUAUGAGUGUAAAUGAAUAUUUAACAACUCAUCGUUGGGAAUUUCUGAAUAUCCUCAAAUUGUAGAGAUUCCAGCCAUGGGGCUACAGACCCAAGCUAUGAAUACGUGUGUUUAGAAAAGAGAGCCUUUCUGCCCUAGUCCCAGCCAUUGUUUCUGGUGGAUGCAGCAACAUCCUCCUACCCCCUCUCCCUGAUUCUGUCUUUUGCCACCUUUAGCACAUUCCAGUGGUGCUCAAGCAGAAUGACUUUGCCCCCCAUUUGGCAAUGUCUGGAGACAGUUUUUGUUGUCAUAACUAGGGGGUAGGGGGUGACAUUAUAGCUUUAUUAGGGAGAAGCCAGGGGUGCUGGUAAACAUCCUACAAUGCAGAGGAAUCUCUGUUACAACAAGGAAUCAUCCAGUCCAAAAUGUCAGUUGUGCAGAGAAACCCUGGUGUAUUCCCACACUGCAGCAGGAACAAUCCUUUUAACAUUUACAGCAGAUAAUGUUACUCCUCUGGUCAGAACCUCUCAGUUGUUUUUAGUGUCCACUGGAGUAUAAGUCAGAGUUCCUCACAGCUUAUAAAGGUCAAGAUGACCUGUUCCUGCUCUCCCUGACUUCACCUCCUGCUGCUUUCUUUUUGCUCACUCCACUCCAGCCAGGAGUUUCUCCUUGUUCCUCCAACCACUUCUCCAAUCCAUUCAUGCUUCUGCUCAAAUGUCAUUUCCUUAGACAGGAUUUCCCUGGCAAAUUUAUAUAUAUAAAAGCAAAUACUCCAUAACUUUUCCCAACCCUACACCACAGGGAAACACAAUUAGAUGAAUUAUUAUCCAUAGUGGUUAACCCUGUAAAAUUCCCACCCUCCCUUCCUUCCUUUUUUCCUUCUUUCCUCCCUCCCUCUCUCCCUUCCUCACUCCCUCCUCCCUCCCUUCCUUCCUUCUUUCCUCCCUCCCUUCCUUCCUUCCUUCUUUCCUCCCUCCCUCCCUUCCUUCCUUCCUUCCAUUCUUCCUUCCCUGCAAAUAAUAUAAUUAAAUCCAAUAACCCAACACCCAACAUGAAGCUAGAACACUCACAGAAACCCAUGUGAGUAUCCCAAGAAUUUCUUUGCCACUCCUCAUUCAAGACAACUACUACCCCAAAUCUUGUAUUAACAAUGUUCCUGACUUCAUUUGAUAUAUGUUCACACAUCUAUUUGUAUUUCUUUAAAAGUAUUAGUUUGGGUUGCGUGUGUUUGGCUUUAUGAAAAAUGUAAUGUUUUAAAUAUAUAAUAACUUAUUUUGUAUUCCUAUUAUAUUGCUAUGAUCCAUCUGCAAUGUUGCAUGUAGUUAAAGUCAUUCAUUUUCAUUGCUACGUAAUAGUCUCUCUUUGAAUAUGCCACACUUUUCUUCUCCAGCCCCCACUAUAUAGGACUGUGUUUGUUUCUAGGUGUUUGCCAUAAUGAACUUUGGAACAGGUUAGGGUUUCUCUCCAUAUAACUUAUCAUCACCUGAUAUUUUAUGUAUGCACUGGCUUAUUUGUUGAUUGCCUGGCUCCUCUCAGUAGAAUGCAAAGGCCCUGGGAACAGAGCCUCUGUUUUCCCCCUGAUGUAUCAACAAAGCCUAACAUAGUGCCUGCUAUAUAAUAGGAAGUCCAUUUAUAUCUACUCUCUCCACCUUUACCCUUUGUCCCGUUGCCUGGCUUAUUAUAAUAGCCUUCUAAACUGUCUCCCUGCUUCUUCCCUUGCCGCCCUUAAAUCAACUCUCAACAUAACAGCCAGGAUUAUUUUGUUAAAAGUUAUACAAGAUUCUGUCAUUUUUCUGUUCAAAAAUCCCUAGCAGCCUCCCCCAUCUCAAAGUAAAAGCCAAAGUCCUUAUAAUAAACUAUGGCUUUGUAAGAUCUGGCUUCCUUCACUUCUCUAAACUUAUCUCCUACUAUCUGUACUCCGGGCACACUGACCUCCUUGGUACUCUUGAACACUCUACAUUCACGAUCCCUAGGACCUUUGCUCUUGCUGUACUCUUUGCUUGGACAGUUUUUCCCUCAAAUAUCUACAAAGCUUUUAUCUUACUUCCUUCCCUUGUGUGCUCAAAAGUCACAUAUUGAGGUCUUCUCUUUUACUCCAUGUAAAAUUGAAACUCUGUCAUCAUAUUCUGUCCCUUUACAGUGCUUUUUAUCCUUAGAGCUCAUUGCUAUUUAACUUUUUUUUACUUAUAUAUUUUAUUUGUUUAUCUCCUCUUACUGAACUACUACCUUUAUAAAGCUACGAUUUUGUAUUCACUACUGAAUCCUUGGUCCCUGGAAUAUGCCUGGCACAUACGAGUUGUUCAAUUAAUACUGAAUGAAUAAAUGAAUAACGGGGAAAGUGAACAUGAUAAGUAGUUGUUAUUUAUGCAACCACUUAUUUGGGCAUUCAUUAGAUCAUAGUUAUAUUUUUGAUGGUCUCGUGGAUAUCAGAAUGACUUAAAACUUUAAAAAUAAAAUAUUCCCAAAGCUACUGAUGCAACCAUCUGAAAAAAUAGAAGAUGAUGUAAGACAUGCACAUGACUAGAGUCAGACCACUAACUCUGAAGAUCCUAAUUCCUGAAGCUAGUUUUAAAAUAUUAAACAUAAUUUUUGCUUUGCAUAAAGCAAGGCACAAGAAUUCCUAGAGGGCAAAAUCAGAUCUAGACUUGGUGUUGCAUUUAUGGAGGAGCGAAGCACAGACCCCCUUUGCUGGAGUUUGUCACACGAGGAGCUUCUCAAGACUCCAGGGGAACAAUAGUGCCUCUUUGCUGCUGGUGUGGUCUUGUGGUUCUUGAGGAAAGCAAUGGUUUUGCUAAAGUUAUUACAAAUAUUUAAAAAUUAUUCAGUUCUAAGUUUCAAUGUGUGUUUUUAAAAAUUACUUCACUCUAGCUUAAUAACAUUUCCAAAGAAAUCUCUAAGAAAAAACAAGACUUCUGGAGGGAGCUAGAUAAGAAGGGCUGAGGAGAAGAUAGGUGAUUUCCGGCUGCCAUGUCAUUAUUAACCACGAAUAGAAGAAAAGAAAUGCACAAGGAAUAAAAUUAAUGUCUUUAAAAGAUAUGGAUACAUGUUAACAUCAAAGAAUUUUGAGCUCAGGAUAUGUAUUUUACAAUUUUAGCUAAAUCUUGAAUUAUAUGAAUCUUUAAAAUGUCAAGAUGUGGCAAAUAGGCUUCGCAAUCAUGGUUUGUCAUCUCGUCAAUGCUCUUGACUUUUGAGUUUUCAUGUAGAGAAGACAUUCCUUUUGCUAUCAUCCUUCUGAUAAAAUUAGCUAUGUGUGUUGUGUAGCAGUAUUUCCAUCCACACACAAGGGUGUGACUUGGCAUUCUUUGUUACAACUGCUACUCAACCACUUAUUUAAAAUAAAAGUCUAAAACUGAAAUCCUCUAAUGAGUUGGAAAAGUUUUGCUUUAAAAAUUAUCCUUUUAGAGUGAUUUCCAGUGCCAUUUAGGGGAUAUAAGGAAGGAAAUUCCAAGGUGUCUGUAUUUUAUCUGCAAAUAAAACGAUCAUGUGACCACAUGCCUGUUUGAUCUGUGCCUGGUAGCUUAGCAUGGCUACAGCAAAAGACGCACUUGCUAUAAUCAUUUCAACCCCCACCCAACC
rnacentral:lncRNA from 1 species